UAAAUCCCUCCCCUCUUUAAUGCUACGAUCCUUUAAACGCUAAAUGGCUCAAGCCCCAGGACAAUCAACUGAGCGAAUGGAAAAAGCCCACCCAUUCCAAACCAAUUGGCUCGCAUCCACCUCCACAGAAGCCAAUCGAAAUACAAUUCUCCAUCUCAAACCCCGCCACCCUCCGAACGACAGAUGACGUUCUCCUAACCUAUUGGAUAAUCUAGUGGUCAAUCCGUGGACGCUCUCCCUUAUUGGCCAAGGCCACCAUCAAUCCAAGAAAAUUCAACGUCCAUUGGCUAAUAGUACCCAUCAAUCAUUUCAAGUGAGGCGGGCAAAGAACAAGAGUCAGGACUUCAGCUUCUUCCACCAUAUUGGCCGGAUUCUCACAGCGGACAUGUUACAUCAAUUCAUACGGAAACAUCGACAUUAAAUUUAAACAAAGAGGAAAUUGGAGAACCCUGAGCAAACCCACACAGUCGCAGGAAGACACAGGAGGUUCUGCAGAUGCUGGUAUCUGGAGCAACGCACACAAGAUGCUGGAGGAACUCAACAGAUUAUCUAAAUCAGAAUGAGAUCUGACCACCUACAAUAAGGAAGUGUCUUGUGGAUGUUGUUUGAACUGAAGAGUUGUCAACCCUGGAGAUGGAGGCAAUGGCAGAUAUUCUUUAAAAAUCUUGCCUGGGACAAAGGGACUUUCUUGUAAAGAUUCCCUUGUCUUUGAAGGAGUUCAAGUAAGAUUUGUAUAUAUGUGUGUUUAUAUAUUGUAUCUCCAUGCUCCCAGGACACCUCAAAGCGAAACAUAGGAACUGGGAGUCAAUUUGCAUACUGAAUAGUUUCCAAAACUGUAAUAUAAUGAUCUUCUUUUGUGCUGUUGGUUGAAGGAUUAAAUAUGAUAUAUUAAAUAUCUUCAAAUUGAUGUAGCAGGGAAAGGAACUAAUAAAUGACCUUGUUCAGAAGCAAGAGCAAGGCAAAGUGUGUGUAGGAGUAAUGACAAACAGAAAUGAGGCAGAUUGCAGUUAAAGUGUGACUUAAGCUAAGGAGCCUUGGGAGCCUACACCAGACUUGGGAGGGGAGAUUGAGGUGAGAGAAGGACUGAAAUAUUGAGUGGGAUAAGUAUCAGAUGUUUGAGGCCUCGUAGACCAUAGACCAAUGCUCUGGUGGGGUGGAUAGAAGGCAAGAACAACACUGGCCAGAGGCACAACAGAAACAGGUAAGUGGGACGGAAGGACCAGACUGGUUGGAAGCUGUUUAUUACAGACUGAUUGACAAAUGGACUAGAUUUUUCUUUUUUUAGAAUGAUCCCAGGGGUGAGGGAGUUCCGCUAUGGGGGUAGAUUGGAAGAGCUGGGUUGAGCUCUUUAGAGCAAAGAAAAUUAAGAAGAGAUUUGGUGAAGGUAUCCAAGAUCAUGACUAGUUUAGAUGGGAUAUAUAGAAGGCUGUUCCCAUGAAUAGGUUAGUUGUGGAAUGGGAUAAGAUAGGUUUUAAUAGGAAGUGGAGGUGUCCUUCUCCAAACUGGCACAAAGUCAUUGGGCCUGGUAUGCCAUAAAAAGUUUGAGAUUCUGUAUUGAAAGAAUUUUUCCAUAGUAAAUGACAACACAGAAGAGCGAACCAAAAUGUCAUAAAAAGGUAAAGUAACGUGGUCAGGAAGAGCCUAGUUUUCAAAACAUUAAACAUUGUUCAGUAGAACAAAUUGCUUCCAGGGAUUAAUUUUGACUGGGUGGUCCAUUCUUUAAUGCGGAGCUAGAGGCUUGGUGGCACUGGGCUGUUUCAGGCUUUCAUGAGAUGUUCAUAGGUUGGAGAUCAGCAGGUGGCUCAUGCUACCAAAUUGAAAUCAUAUUUUUAAAAAUCAAUUUGGGAAAAUACACUCCCUAUGACAAGUGUUGAAUGUUGGGUGGUAGGUAUGUUUGAACCUUGAUUUUCAGGAUAUAGCAAGUGAAGUUAUCUAGAGAUAUAUGGUGGACAUUAGCCUUUUAUUUGUCAGUACCCUGGAUGAACAAAUGAACAGGGAGCUGGAUAUACAAACUUGCAUCAAGGUAGGAAGCACAUUAAUUAGUGUAGAUGGGAGAAGAAAAUUGGAAAGGGACACUGAUAGAUUUAAUAAGUGGGCAUGUAUGGUAGCUGGCGUUCAGUAUGGGCAGGUGUUUGGGGUCAUUCUUUUGGUCCCGAAUAUUUUCUAAAUAGAAAUUAGUAACAUGAAGAGAUUUAUGAGCCUACGUGUACACAGAGAGCUGGUGGACUGGUACAGAGCAAUUAAAGGCUGGUGGAAUGUUGGCUUUUAUCACAAGGGGGUUCAAAUGCAAAGGGCUAAAAAAAAUUGUGCGGUGCCUUGGAUAGGCCUUACCUGAAACAGUGUGUUCAACUCCCAGCCCCAAAGCUCAGCAGCAAUACAUUGACCUUGGAAAGAUUCCCCUGGGGCGGCUACGCCUUCAGCUUCUUUGGCCCAAGCCUUGGCAUUCUUUCCCUGAAUCUCACUACCUUGCUCCUCUUUGUAAAGCCUACCUUUAUGAGUAAGCAUUUGAUCAUUUGCCCUAAACUCUAAAAUGACUUAGUGCCAAGAGAAACAAAAGGACUGCAGAUGCUGGAACCGAGAUGAGAAACACUAUGAUGCUGGAGGAACUCAGCAGGCCAGGCAGCAUCUGUGGAGAAAUGCAGGUGGUCAACGUUUUGGGUCAGGACCCUUCUUCAGGACUGAAGAUAGGAAAAGGGGAAGUCCAAUCUAUAGGAGGGAAAAGCAGAGCAGC